CUGUAUAUGUAAUCAUAAACACACAAAUCAAAUAGCCGAAAAUGCUUCAAAUCGCGAUCGUGUCUUUCAACCCGAGCUAGAAAGGUCUGUGUUGUGCACAGGCUACAUUGCAGCAAUUUUAAUACUUGCUACAGUUUAUUUUAAAUUGUCGCCGCUUGUGUAUUUUUUUACGCAUACUAAGUCAUUUUCAUGGCUCGUCGCUGAAUUCGUUCAAUGUCUUUACACAGAUAUAUGGGAAUUCCAUAAUGAAAGACAGGAGAUGCGUAUUCGACAAUUGGUCGGAUACAAGUGCAGUAGAAACACAUCGUCUCGGUGGUGGAUACUUUGGCACGUUUCAAUUGUCGCAAAAAGUACAAUCUCUUGGAUGCCUUUUUAACAAUAUUAUCAAAAUGUCUAUUCCACUUAAGGUCGCUGCUGAUAGUCAAACCAAAAACUUUACUUGGGAAGACCAAGUCUACCCGUUUACCGUUGAUUGUCACUAGGGGAAGCUGCUGGUAAUUAGUGUUGUAUCUACUAAAUUGUAUUCGCAUCUAUUUACAUUUAUCCUCGUUGAGGGUAAAUUUCAGGGUGUUGGAUUGGUUUUGGAUGUCAUCGACCGCAGAUUGAAUGUUACUAUCCCCUCCUCUGGGUAUUACCUCGGCUAAAGUCGUAUCGUCUACGUAUUUCCAGAGGUUGUUAUACUGACUGUGUUGAGAUCAUUGAUCAUAAGAAUAUAUAAACCAAGGACCGAGUUUGGUUCCCUGGGGUACACCUGCCGGGACUAGGGACCAUUCUGAAUAGCAGUCAUUGGCCAACUUUACUCUUUGUUGACGAUUUGUCAAAAAAUCUCUUACCCAAUUUAUAACACUCGGCGGAACGUCCAGAGAGUGGAGCUUUACCAUAAGUAACUGAUGAUCGAUGAGAUCAAAUGCUUUCCUAAAGUCCAAUAGAACAAGUAUACUGUAACUAAGGCCCCGUUGCCAUCAGUGGCUUUAGCAACAUUCUGGACUAUGCUAAUAAGAGCUUUCGUGGUAGAUGAUUUCGGCACUGUUCCAUAUCGCAUGGUUAGGAUCCACCACUUUGAGAAUCGCCGGUUUAAUGAACUGUUCAACUACCACUUCCUCGGCUAGUUUUGAGACUAUUGGUGUUAACGAAACGGGCCUUAAAUCCUUGUUUACAGUUCGUACAGGCUUCUGUUUUGGAAUGGGAAUUACAUCUACCAACUUCCAAGCAACGGGUAAACGAUUUUCGAGAUAAGAAGAAUUGAGAAUCUUGCACACGGGACUAGCUAGUACAUCGGCAUUCUCUUUGAGAGACAAUACUGUUAAAGACAUUAAAAUUCCUUCAAAACUGUUUUUAUUUAUUUUGAUGCCUUUAGAGUUUUGUGAAAAGCGCGAGCAUUUUCUCCAUGGUCAUCAGAAACCUGAUGGUGAAUAGAGGAAAUUAGCUAGCCAAUUGUGUUUUGUUUUGUCCCGGAGUAUUGACCACGCACAUACAUGUCUGUGAUGUGUACAUCAUAGGUUAUUUUGAUUCGCGACUCGUUAGUGGAAAGCAAAUAUAAAAACGCGGUUUCAUGCUUUAUAGUGUGAACACAAAAUGUGCAAGUGAGGCUGAUUAAUACUCGGGAAAUCGCGAUGAUUUCCGACGAUGUCCGGUUUCGAUACGAGUGUAACCGGAACGCGUUCCGCAGAUGCGUUCCAGUAACAGUGGAACGCAAAUGGAACGCAAUUGGAAUGCGAAUGGAACGCAAAUGGAACGCGAAUAGAACGCGAAUGGAACGUGAAUGGAACGCACGUAGGAACGCGUUCCGGACGCGUUCGGGACGCGUUCCGAAAGCGUUUUCUGUUAGGUUAUUAUCUAUUAUUCAUUUAAAAUUCUUUAUACACGGUAGCUUAUCAACCUAUUUCUACUAGGUUAUGUCUGAGCAGUACUGUACCUCGGAUCCCCUAUCAAUUGGGCAAUACCUGUUGGGAAAUCCGCUCACCAAUGAGUGAGGAACUCGGUCAACAAGCAAUAAACUAAACUGAAUACAUGCAUGUACACAUACAAAUUUCACGUUUCGGCCAAAUUUAUUGAAACAUUAUUACAAUAUUCACACACUAUUUAAUUUUGAUUUAAUUUGAUUUGAUUUUAUUUUUUUUAUUUUUUUAAAGUGAUUUAAUUUUUUUUUAAAGAGUGAUUAAUUUGUCGGGUGGAAUUAAUUAGAAAUGACGAAGAAAAUUCCGCUCCGUCCGCAAAAUUACACCUAAUGGGAAACUGGCUUAUAUAAGCCUUAUAUUCCUGAUAAUGAAUUGAAUUGAUUUAAUGAUUACUGACUUUGUAACCCAAAAAGGGUGAACACGCUACACGACUUUAGUCGGCCGAUUUAUGCAUGUUAGAACGAGAAACAAUCAGUUGCUUGGUUUGAUGGCUUAUCAUUCUUGGUUCUCAUAUAGUUGGCUUCGUUAAAUACCAUUCACCUAAACCGCAAAUCGGCCGACAAAAAUCGCAGUCGUAGUGUGUCCGCCCGUUUUUAUAGUGCGCUUAUAACGUUAUGCACAUGAAUUAUAUUUUGAACUUUUGAUUUAUAACAUUAUCGCUCUAACUCUAUUUAGGCAAAAUGUUUAGCAAAAUAAAUUAAAUGACUGCAUGCUAUUAAAUUUCGCUCACUGAAAAGCGGAGUGGAAUGCGGAAUCGAAUGGCAUCGCCAUCGGCGAAUGCAACUGAUUUCUCGAUGCUUGUGUUCUUGUGACAUCUUUAGUUCGCGAGUUAAAUUAAAGAUUUGUUUGUACUGGUCUUGUUGGCUGAACUGGCAGUGCCAGAGUGCCUAAGAUGGAUCUGAUUUUCUCAGGCCGUCGUCAAAGGGGCAAUCUCUUCUAGUACGACUCCACAGGCUAUAUAGACUCCUAGUGUGUUGCCUUUAAAUUUAGCCGAAUUUCAAUGAAAAUUCACAUCUUCAUACGCUCUUAAAAUGUCGUGCUACUUUCAACCUCCAUAGUUUUAUAAAGUUAUACGAUAUUCUUCUAUAAAUUGGCAUUUAUAUAUGCGGCGUAUGGGGAGGUAGAUCGGGCGGCUGCGGUUUGACUGCAACUAGGCGAGUUGGAAGAAAUUUUAGUUUUACUAGUACUUUUAGCAGUUCGCGUGAAAAUAAAAAAAAGCUACUGAUUCGAACUAAGAUCAUUCUUCGGGUAGGUCGCGUAAUUUUGAAAACGGGUAUAUUCGCAGAUUUUCUUUAUCAGUGACCCUGAACUAGACGUAUAUAUAACCUCAAGUCAACAGUUUCUCUAUAUAUGUUGGUAAUAGCUAUUUAAUAUAUAGAUUAAAUAUUUGCCUCUUCCAUGACAGUGAAUGCUUUAUUGUGUGAAUUAAACUUCCUGUGUUGCUGGAAUUUUGCAGGGUUAUAGAAACUACAUGUUGCCGAAUACCACAGACUGAAACACGCAACCCCGACAGGGUGUAAAGAGUAAAGACUAUGUUAUGAUCAUGAAAGGUGAGAUGUUUUGAUGGGUUGAAAUUAGUCACGGUUCGUGAUUUCCCAGAAAUUCAUUACUUUGCUAGUAAUAGGAAAAUUUGCAAACGAAAGCCGCUGCAUGUUUAAGAAGGAAACCGCCAAUGAAAAGCGGAACAAUUUCGGGCUGCGAGAAGGAUUAUACCUGGGCGAAUAGAAACACCUGCAAUCUAACCAGUCGAAAAAGGAAUGCACGGAAUCCGUUUAGAGACGGCCACGCAUAUAAUUGAACUGGAAUUCUUGAGUGGCUUUCAGCAUGAAAUUAUUCUAUAUAGAUAUGACGAUUUUCACACAAUGAAAUGUUAACACAAAUGUUUAAACAAAAUAUGAAUUAUUACAUAAUUAUAUAAGGAGCAGAUUUGAAAUAUGUUCUACGACAUAGGUUCACUAAAAACUAUAUUGACUGAAUGAAUGCUUUAUUGUGUGAAUUAAACUUCCUGUCUUGCUGGAAUGUUGCAGGGUUAUAGAAACUUACAUGUUGAACACCACAGACUGAAACACGCAACCCCGAUAAGGUGUAAAGACAUGUUAUUUUGUUAUUUUAGGAACUGUUAAUUUAUUAUCGCGCUUUGCCAGAACAAGAUAAAAGGUGAGAUGUUGUGAUGGCUGAAAUAAGUCAUGGCUCGUGAUUCCGCAGAAUUCAUUGCUUUGCUAGUAACAGAAUACCGAAUAUUGCAAACGGAAGAGGCUGUUUGAGCAAUAAGUAUGCAGCCAAAGAGCAAUAAUAGUCUUGUCCAGUUUCAGCCCGUUUCAAUUACUCCUUGUUGCACGCGCCCAUAGGCCAUAGUUAGUAUAUAUACAUUUCAAUAAAUCAUUAAAUUAAUUGAUGUUUGUGAUGUUACUCUGAGUGUAUAAACACACCGGGCAAGCUUGAAAAAUAUGCCUGGCCACGGUGAGAAUCGAACCUACUGUACAACCUUUGGAAUACUAGCCCAACACAGAAAAAAAUCAUUAAUUAUUUGAAUUAUUUUGUAGUUAUAUUCUGUCCCAGCAAAGCACGAUAAUGAAAGCAGCCCCAAACAUACCUGCAGCACUGAUACAAGCAGGAGAGCUACAAUUCUGAGACGGUGAAUUUGUAGGUUUGUUGACUUUAAAGACUUUAAAAUACAGCAGAAUGAAGAUUCCGGAUAGAAUAAUUAGCAGCAGUAGAAAUAUCAAGAAAACCAAGCGUACUUUCGAAGGCUUCCGUAUUUCAGUGUCUUCUAACCGACGAAAAGGAACUUUCGCCAUAUCAGUUUAUUUCAUAAAGGUGAUAGUAAAACACGCUUGAUCUUUCAAUCCACGCGGCAGCGCUAGCUAUAGUCUUCUUGGGCCUGCAGAAUGACGUACUUAUGGCAUAAGCGGUCUGCUUAUAAGCGGUCGAGCUGAACAUUCCGUUUCCAAGGAGCCAAUCAGUUUUCAGUAAAAUAUUUAUACAGGAAACCAAUCAGUAGGCGCCUUAUCACUUAGCCUCAAGGCAUAGCCGUGUUGAUGUGCACUUAAAUUGGAUCGAUCUUUCUGUGCCACGUGAUGAAUUUUUUUGGGACCUCGUGACAACUUUUCAACUUUAACGAAAUCGUGAACAAUCUGCAAUGUUCUACUGGAAAUGGCGCUUUUGGAAAUGGCGCUUCUAAGAAUGAUCUUUACUAUGUUUGCAGGUGAGAAGAUAGAGUCGACAACAUUCUUGAACUGACACAAUAUACGCGAUUAUUCACACGAUUUGCUUGUUUGGCUUUUUAUAUUAUACUAAAAUAUUUAUCCGAUAAUAUCUGCAGACAAGCACACUGUAAAAGCGGUCAAAUGAGGAUGGGAGUUGAUCAUUCGAAGUGGCUGCACCUACGCUGUGGAACAACCUCCCAGAAGAAAU
rnacentral:lncRNA from 1 species